AUUGAACGCUGGCGGCAUGCCUUACACAUGCAAGUCGAACGGCAGCACGGGUGCUUGCACCUGGAGGCGAGUGGCGAACGGGUGAGUAAUACAUCGGAACAUGUCCUGUAGUGGGGGAUAGCCCGGCGAAAGCCGGAUUAAUACCGCAUACGAUCCACGGAUGAAAGCGGGGGACCUUCGGGCCUCGCGCUAUAGGGUUGGCCGAUGGCUGAUUAGCUAGUUGGUGGGGUAAAGGCCUACCAAGGCGACGAUCAGUAGCUGGUCUGAGAGGACGACCAGCCACACUGGGACUGAGACACGGCCCAGACUCCUACGGGAGGCAGCAGUGGGGAAUUUUGGACAAUGGGCGAAAGCCUGAUCCAGCAAUGCCGCGUGUGUGAAGAAGGCCUUCGGGUUGUAAAGCACUUUUGUCCGGAAAGAAAUCCUUGACUCUAAUACAGUCGGGGGAUGACGGUACCGGAAGAAUAAGCACCGGCUAACUACGUG
rnacentral:rRNA from 1 species